rnacentral:rRNA from 1 species
GAGUUUGAUCAUGGCUCAGGAUGAACGCUAGCGGGAGGCUUAACACAUGCAAGCAGAGGGGUAUAAGAGAGCUUGCUUUCUUAGAGACCGGCGAACGGGUGCGUAACGCGUAUGCAACCUACCUAUAUCAAGAGGAUAGCCCUUGGAAACGAGGAUUAAUACUUUAUAACAAUAGAAACAGCAUUGUUUUUAUUUGAAAGAUUUAUCGGAUAUAGAUGGGCAUGCGUAAGAUUAGAUAGUUGGUGGGGUAAUGGCUCACCAAGCCUACGAUCUUUAGGGGGCCUGAGAGGGUGAACCCCCACACUGGUACUGAGACACGGACCAGACUCCUACGGGAGGCAGCAGUGAGGAAUAUUGGACAAUGGGUGAGAGCCUGAUCCAGCCAUCCCGCGUGUAGGAUGACGGCCCUAUGGGUUGUAAACUACUUUUAUACAGGAAGAACAUACGGUACGUGUACCGUACUGACGGUACUGUAGGAAUAAGCACCGGCUAACUCCGUGCCAGCAGCCGCGGUAAUACGGAGGGUGCAAGCGUUAUCCGGAAUUAUUGGGUUUAAAGGGUCCGUACGUGG